GAGUAACGCGUGGGCAACCUGCCUUAUACCGGGGGACAACAGCUGGAAACGGCUGCUAAUACCGCAUAAGCGCACAGUAUCGCAUGAUACAGCGUGAAAAACUCCGGUGGUAUAAGAUGGACCCGCGUCUGAUUAGCUAGUUGGCGGUGCAACGGACCACCAAGGCGACGAUCAGUAGCCGGCCUGAGAGGGCAAACGGCCACAUUGGGACUGAGACACGGCCCAAACUCCUACGGGAGGCAGCAGUGGGGAAUAUUGCACAAUGGAGGAAACUCUGAUGCAGCGACGCCGCGUGAGUGAAGAAGUAUUUCGGUAUGUAAAGCUCUAUCAGCAGGAAAGAAAAUGACGGUACCUGACUAAGAAGCCCCGGCUAACUACGUGCCAGCAGCCGCGGUAAUACGUAGGGGGCAAGCGUUAUCCGGAUUUACUGGGUGUAAAGGGAGCGUAGACGGUCAUGCAAGUCUGAAGUGAAAGCUCGGGGCUCAACCCCGGAACUGCUUUGGAAACUGUUUGACUGGAGUGCAGGAGAGGUAAGCGGAAUUCCUAGUGUAGCGGUGAAAUGCGUAGAUAUUAGGAGGAACACCAGAGGCGAAGGCGGCCUACUGGACUGUAACUGACGUUGAGGCUCGAAGGCGUGGGGAGCAAACAGG
rnacentral:rRNA from 1 species